rnacentral:rRNA from 1 species
CAGCAGCCGCGGUAAUACGAAGGGGGCUAGCGUUGCUCGGAAUGACUGGGCGUAAAGGGCGCGUAGGCGGAUGGCACAGUCAGAUGUGAAAUUCCCGGGCUUAACCUGGGGGCUGCAUUUGAUACGUGUUGUCUAGAGUGAGGAAGAGGGUUGUGGAAUUCCCAGUGUAGAGGUGAAAUUCGUAGAUAUUGGGAAGAACACCGGUGGCGAAGGCGGCAACCUGGUCCUUGACUGACGCUGAGGCGCGAAAGCGUGGGGAGCAAACAGGAUUAGAUACCCGCGUAGUCCCUGUCUCUUAUAC